GAAAGGCGCGCGAUACAGGGUGACAGCCCCGUACACAAAAAUGCACAUGCUGUGAGCUCGAUGAGUAGGGCGGGACACGUGGUAUCCUGUCUGAAUAUGGGGGGACCAUCCUCCAAGGCUAAAUACUCCUGACUGACCGAUAGUGAACCAGUACCGUGAGGGAAAGGCGAAAAGAACCCCGGCGAGGGGAGUGAAAAAGAACCUGAAACCGUGUACGUACAAGCAGUGGGAGCACGCUUAGGCGUGUGACUGCGUACCUUUUGUAUAAUGGGUCAGCGACUUAUAUUCUGUAGCAAGGUUAACCGAAUAGGGGAGCCGAAGGGAAACCGAGUCUUAACUGGGCGUUAAGUUGCAGGGUAUAGACCCGAAACCCGGUGAUCUAGCCAUGGGCAGGUUGAAGGUUGGGUAACACUAACUGGAGGACCGAACCGACUAAUGUUGAAAAAUUAGCGGAUGACUUGUGGCUGGGGGUGAAAGGCCAAUCAAACCGGGAGAUAGCUGGUUCUCCCCGAAAGCUAUUUAGGUAGCGCCUCGUGAAUUCAUCUCCGGGGGUAGAGCACUGUUUCGGCAAGGGGGUCAUCCCGACUUACCAACCCGAUGCAAACUGCGAAUACCGGAGAAUGUUAUCACGGGAGACACACGGCGGGUGCUAACGUCCGUCGUGAAGAGGGAAACAACCCAGACCGCCAGCUAAGGUCCCAAAGUCAUGGUUAAGUGGGAAACGAUGUGGGAAGGCCCAGACAGCCAGGAUGUUGGCUUAGAAGCAGCCAUCAUUUAAAGAAAGCGUAAUAGCUCACUGGUCGAGUCGGCCUGCGCGGAAGAUGUAACGGGGCUAAACCAUG
rnacentral:rRNA from 1 species